rnacentral:tRNA from 1 species
CAGAAAAUAGUUUAGUUUAGAAUCC